UGUAACUCCAAGAUACCAAACCUCUAAACACUGACCACGUACACAGAGGUUCAUAACAGCAGCAGUGAGAAGUUAAACAGUCAUACACCACUGAGAGCACCUUUCUUGGCAACAGGUGACUGCGUGACACCAUGAAGAUCUUUAUUUCAAUAACGUUCCUUCUGGCUGUGGCAUCUGCUGUGCCUACAUUCUGGUAUCGAAACAAAAUCAGUACUCAGGAGGACAACUCAGAAAUCCAUGGGGGCGCUAUUGAGAAUGGAGGCACACCAAUUGGAACUGAUGGGGCAUUUGGAGUGACAGCAGGAAAAGGCAGUGAUAACAAAGAAGUGGAAAGAAAUGACCCAAAAGUAAAUGGGCUUAAUGCUGUCCAACCUAGUAAUGGUCUAGAUGGCAUGACUGGUGGAAGUGUAAAAGUUCAACAAAAAAAUGUAAAUCAUGCUGUUGUAAGUGCCACAAAGAAUAAUGUGAAUGAUUUUGGGAACACUAUUCUCAUUGAAGAUUAUGAGGUUGGUGAUGCAGAGAUAAGAGAUAAACAGGAACUGCAGAGUCAUGGUGCCAAUUAUGAAUUUGAUGAUAAAGGACUGCAUGGUGAUGAUCCAAUGGCAUUCUAUGGAAUACAUGGUGAUGAUCCAA
rnacentral:lncRNA from 1 species